rnacentral:tRNA from 1 species
GGCCUCGUGGCCUAAUGGUAGGGCGUCGGUUUCCGGCACCGAAGAUUGUGGGUUCAAAUCCCAUCGGGGUCG